CUUAUAACUGGGAUUUUGUGCCUUUUGGCCCUUUCCUCCAAUUCUCCUUCCUCCCACUUUCGUAUCUUUUGUUAGAUUUUUUUUCCUUUGGUAUUUCAUGUUUACAGAAGUUCUUUUGUGACAGAUAAUACACACGUGAAAGGGCAUAAAAUAUAAAUGUACGGCUUAAUAUAUAAUUAUGAAGGAAGAACACAUGGACCCACUACCCAGGCCAAGAAAAAAUAUGCCAGCAUCCCCAGAAGCCACAAAUGCCUUCCCAGCCAAACCCCUCUCCCUCCACCCAGUCAUCCAUCCAUCCAUCCAUCCAUCAUCCAUCUGUCCACCCAUCCACCCACCCAUUGAGCCAUCCGCCCAUCCAUCCAUCCAUCCAUCCAUCUCUGGGUAUUUCAGAGCUUCCUUGGUCUAUUUGUCUAUCCCUGUGUAAAACCCACACUAUCUUAAUUAUACACACAUUGACUUCUUUGAAAAUUCCUUCCUUUGCUUUUCUUUGGUUUUACCACUUAAGCACAUAUUCCCCAAAACCCUGGUUUAGUUUCUGAACUUUGUACAAAUAGAAUAACACCCUUUGAACUCUUUUGUAUUUUGCUUUUGUUAUUUAACAGUAUGCUUGUAAAUUAUUCACCUUAUUGUGAAUAACUGUAAUGUGUUCAUUUUUAAUGUUGUAUAGUAUUGAUAUAGCAUCAAUGAAAUAAGUUGUGGAUAAAUACCAUUACUUAUCAAUUAUAUUGAUGGACAGUUGAGGGCUUCCCAGUUUGGGCUAUUAAAAAUAGUGCUGCUGUGAACAUUCUUUUACAUGUCUCGUUGCAUUCCUCUUUGUCAGGCAUCAGGUAUCUAUCCAUCCAUCCAUCCACCCAUUCAUCCAUCCAUUUAUCCAUCCACCCAUUCAUCUACUCACCUGUCCGUCCAUCCGUUCAUCCAUCCAUCCUCUCAUCCAUUCAUCCAGCCAUCUCUGGGUGUUUCAGAGCUUCCUUGGUCUAUUUGUCUAUCCUUGUGCAAAACUCACACUUUCUUAAUUAUAUAUGCCUAAUUAUCCUAAUUAUAUGUACAGUUUUAUAAUUAGUCUCGAUAUCCUCCCACCUUGCUCUUCUUCAAGAGUCUCCUGGCUUUUCAUGUUCGAUGCUUACCUCAGCUGUGCACGAUCCUUGCCUAUCAGUUCAUGUAUAAGAGUGGGGCCCGGUGUGAGGCUCAGCCUGUAGUGUGAAACUGAAAGCGCAGUGGAAGAUUGAAAUAAGAAAAUGUUUUGCUGAAACACAUCAAGAGUCCUAUGGAAAACUUGUUGGAGAUGUGCCUACAGAACCCCUAGAUGGACAGGUUCAGUCGGCAGCUGGACAAAUAAAGAUCAGCGCUGGUCUGGGCGUUCCCCAGCGUGUUGGCGGAGGUCACUCACCCCAAGAAAUCUAGCUGUCAAAUGUCCCUCACCUCACCUGGCACAUCUGUUUCCAGAACCCACCCUUCUCUCCCUGCACAGGAUUAUUGUCUUCAAGAAACAUCAAGCAUCUUGGAUGGAAGUGUCAGUGCUGCUCCCCUCAGGCAAAGACACCCAGGCCAAGACCAUUUCCUGCCCUGAAAUUUGGGGCUCUCUGAGGAGAAAGCUUGGUGUACCUCGAGUUGUCCGAGGAUGGGCACCUUGACAAGACUAGGACGAGUGAUGAAGGUGGAUUUUUGUCAUCCAGAGACUCCCAAGGGUUUCUUCCUUCUCCCAGCUUCCUUCCCAGUACCUAGUUUUCCAUUUUGCCUUCUGAUUUUGUAUAUUUUACUCCCACCCCAAAAAACCAAAAGGAAGGGCCCAAAACACGGUCUAAGAAAAAGUGGCCUGCUCUCCUUCUCAAAGCCUGAAAAAUCACAUUUUUCUGACCAUUUGGAUUCAUUUCCGCAAGGACUUGUCGGGACCAAAUACAACAUUUCCUGUAGAAAAUACCUGCUUCGGGAGGGAUCUGUUCUGCCCGGUGGCCCUUCCAUCUCUGUCUCACCUGGACUGGGAACUCUUCAAGGAAACGUCCAGAUUGGGGGCUUCCUUUCAGCAGGGAUGAUGGGAAGUCUUUUGAUAAACUGCAAUGAUUUCCAGGCUGCCCCCCACCCGCUGAUGUACACACUGUUGGCUGCUCUUCUGGAAAAUGGGGAUUAAGCUACGGACAGAGACACAAUCCCUGUAGUCAGUGAGUUUCCAGCCUUCCUCUGGGAAGUGUGGGAAAUGCUGAUGCCCACCUCAAGGGGUUCUGAGAGAGUCUGAUGAGAUAAUGCAAGUAAAAUGCUUAGGCUGGGCUCGAGCACACAGCGAAUGCCCAAUCAGUGUUUUAGUUGCUAUUAUAUGUUCGGGGGUGGGGGGCGGUGUUUGAAAGAGCAUCUGUGGCUCAGGACUUCGACAACCACACUACCAAGAUGCUGGAAACCAGGUGCUGGGGGAAGUAGGGCCGGGAGGAAUGCAAGAAUUCUAGAAUGCUGGUCAUGUCCCCAUGUCGGUUUGGUUUAGCUCAGGGUGUUUUUCCACAUCACUUAUUAGGCAAACUUUUAAAAUGAGAAACUGACAUUCCCUUGCAGAGGCCGAGGGAGGAACUAGAAAGAUUUCAUUUCGCUCCCCAGUCAGGCCUGUGAGGCGGAGAGCCCUCCAAACAUGGCAGCUUUGGUAUGGUUCGUUUUUAUUUUUUUCUGUUUUAUGUAUUGCAAUUAUGUAUAAUAUGUAAAUAUAAAAUUAUGUAUAAAACCUU